rnacentral:lncRNA from 1 species
AUGGUGCAGGACGGAGCACAGAGGCCCCCAGGGCCACGUUACCACUGCUCUUGUAUGGCCAUCCUGGAGGACUCUCAUCAGAACUUCACACUGUUCUCCCCUCUGCUUAGAGGAUAUUUCGACUGCUGUCAGGAAGAUGAGAGCAGCUGGGCCGUUAAAGUCAACAGGCUCCCACUUCUACACGGGCCAGAUUGUGUCAUAAUUGGAAAUGUGAAAUAUGCCUUCCUCUGUUUAGACUUCCCAGGCGUGGCAUGGCUUGUUUGUGUUUCCUCCAAACCCCAGAAAAGGCCAGUCCCAGGCCUGAGUAAAUGCUCCAGGCUUGUUGGUGAGGAGAAGGAGCCACGGCCCCUGCCAGCUCCAGAACCCACUCCCUCCCUGCACAUAUUAUGUAGCAUCAAGACGUCCAUUGCUCAGGCUCUGCUGUCUGUGAGUCUGGCCUUGCCUUUCCUGAUGAGAAACAAAAGAAGGGGAGUGAGAGAGAAGUUACCUGCUACUCACUGGAGUUCAGAGAGAGGCAAUGGUGUGAAGCUGGUUGCGGCCAUCCGGACAGGUGUUCGCCAGCAUCAGCAUCACCUGGAUGCUUGUUACACCUGGGCUCCACCCCAGACCUAUGGAACCAGAAUCUCCAGGAAUCUGUAUCUUAACAAACUUUCCAGGUGACUUUUGUGAACCCGGGUUUGAGAAGCCUGACUCCAUGAUCACAGAUAGGCCUGAAGUCAUUCAUAGUGUGUGAGUAAAGCACUGGGGGAGGGGCAUGGGUGUUGAAUUCUUGCUGGCAGAGUAUCUUAUGCAAGUCUUUUCUUCUCCAGAGGCAGUGAUAAGAUUGAUGAGAGCACCCCAUCAUGUGCCUGAAAGGGCUUUGCAACACAUCAAACAACGUGAGCAUGGAAGAGAUUGUGAUUCUUAUCGCCACAUUUGUAGCAGGGUUUUUUAAAGGGAAAACAGCCAAGUCCUUGGCUUUCCUUCCCCUGCUCUUGGCAAAACCUCCUACUGCUCUAGGAGGAUUGCAAGAACAUUGACCCAGAAUUCCCUGCAUGUUUCCUGGGAAAAGCAAGCUAACUCUGACAGCUAAAACUGCUACACGGUGUAUCAUAAGAUCCCUGCUGCUCAGACCCGACAGCUAUUCCCUCCGGUUUCUGGCCUGCACAGCUGGCCCACAACGGUGGGGCUUUCUGUGCCUUGGGAGCUUUCUGCUGAUGGAGGAUAGCUUCCAGGUAGCCCCAGGAUUUGAAUCAAGACCAAUAAGUGGGUAAAAGCUACAAAGAGUCGGGUUUCAUGCCCAAGUAAGGAAGAACUUUGCAGGGAUCAGAGCUGCCCCAAAGUGGCCUAAGCUUCCCUAGUAGGUGGCAAGUGAGAUCCCUGACGGAAGAGAUGGUCACUCACAGGCCAAUGACCCUUUGGCGGGGCUAUUUUAUCCUUUUUCUUCUUACCGAGGUCUAGGAGCAGUGUGCUCUGCCUGAUACCUGAGAAGCCUUCUUCAAAACAUCCCUAAAUCCCUUCUUUCAUUCAGCUGGUAUUUGCUCAUCACCUACCACAAGUCAGGCGCUGGCCUACACACUCGGGGUGAAGGGCCUUGCUCUCAGUUUAGACUAGGUGAACAAGGCAGGCCUCUCUGCACAAGUGAUGUUGUAGGCUGAGAUCUAGAUCACAAGCAAGAGCCGGAAGUGGGAAAAUUAUGUGGAUGAGCACAGCAGGCCAAGGGAACAACUGGUGUAAAGCAGGUCCUGAUGCAGGAGUCCUGGAGCACAGUCAGUGGGGGCAAACCCCAAGAGAAGGCAGGGAGAGACCAGAUCCUGUAUGGAAGGCCUUAUUAGCCAGCGUAUGGGGUUUGGAGGGGUUUUUCUUCUGUUUUUUCUUUCUCUACUGCAGCACUUAAACAGGCCUGCUGACUGCCAGCAUCAUUGAAAUUUCUUCGUUGAGCACCUACUUCCUGCUACAAACCUCAGGAAACCGAGGUCCUGUCCUCCCCCAACCAGCUGCUACUUCCUCUAAACACCGAGGAGCCUGGCCUUUGCUUUCAGCAUCUUUCUUCACUAAGUAUCAUUGAAAAACUUGGAUCUGACAGCCAACUGCUUACUUUCUGAUCCACCAGCUGGUUACAGAACCAACAUCCUUUUUCUUCUUUUAUCUGUCUUUUCCCUGUGAUGAAACACAGGUGCAGAGUGGAUACAGGUCCAAAUGCAACCAGGAAAGAACAAACUCAAUCUCUCCAGGGGAGGGGGGUGGGUCAGGGGGGCGCCAAUGUAGCACAGUGGUUAAGGCACAGGGUCUGAGCCCAAAUACAGGUUCCUUCUCACUUGCCAGCUAUGUGACCUUAGGCAGGCCAUCUCUCAGAGCCUCAGUUUUGCCAUAUGUAAAAUAAAGAUAAUGAUAGUCUCUACUUCA